CGGCCUCCCAAAGUACUGGGAUUACAGGUGGAGACUGGACCUCAGAAGAGGGAGUGGGUGCCCCGAGAACUCACAGCUAGCGGACAGUGGAAAGGGCAGGAGCCGGACCAAGGUGAGGACAGUGGAACUGAAGGCCGCUGGUUACCUCUCCUGCCCUCCGCUGGCCACAGUGGAGAAGACAGCCCCUCCCUCCUGCUCUGACCUGACAGUGUUCAUCCAUCGCCCUGUAUUAGCGAAGAACAACAUCAAGCUGGCUAGCAAGGAACUGUAUACAGGGUCCAGCUGGGUAUCACACUGGAUCUCACCCAAAGCUUAGAUGUGAUCCAGCUCAGUAUCACAAAGCAGAACGAAAAGGAUGUGUUUGGGCUGAGAGGCCAUACAUUGAUGGAGUCUUGCUCUGUCGCCCAGGCUGGAGUCCAGUGGCGCGAUCUCGGUUCACUGCAAGCUCUGCCUCCCGAGUUCAUGCCAUUCUCCUGCCUCAGCCUCCUGAGUAGCUGGGACUACAGGCACCUGCCACCACGGCUGGCUAAUUUUUUUUUUUUUUUUUUUGAAAUGGAGUCUUGCUCUGUUGCCCAGGCUG
rnacentral:lncRNA from 10 species